rnacentral:rRNA from 1 species
CGAACGCUGGCGGCAGGCCUAAUACAUGCAAGUCGAACGGCUCUUCGGAGCAGUGGCGGACGGGUGAGUAACGCGUGGGAAUGUGCCCUUAGGUACGGAACAACACAGGGAAACUUGUGCUAAUACCGUAUGUGCCCUUCGGGGGAAAGAUUUAUCGCCUUUGGAGCAGCCCGCGUUGGAUUAGGUAGUUGGUGAGGUAAAGGCUCACCAAGCCGACGAUCCAUAGCUGGUCUGAGAGGAUGACCAGCCACCCUGGGACUGAGACACGGCCCAGACUCCUACGGGAGGCAGCAGUAGGGAAUCUUGCGCAAUGGGCGAAAGCCUGACGCAGCCAUGCCGCGUGUAUGAUGAAGGUCUUAGGAUUGUAAAAUACUUUCGCCGGGGAAGAUAAUGACGGUACCCGGAGAAGAAGCCCCGGCUAACUUCGUGCCAGCAGCCGCGGUAA